rnacentral:rRNA from 1 species
GAUGAACGCUAGCUACAGGCUUAACACAUGCAAGUCGAGGGGAAACGACAUCGAAAGCUUGCUUUUGAUGGGCGUCGACCGGCGCACGGGUGAGUAACGCGUAUCCAACCUGCCCAUCACUUGGGAAUAACCUUGCGAAAGUAAGACUAAUACCCAAUGACGUCUCUAGAAGACAUCUGAAAGAGAUCAAAGAUUUAUCGGUGAUGGAUGGGGAUGCGUCUGAUUAGCUUGUUGGCGGGGUAACGGCCCACCAAGGCGACGAUCAGUAGGGGUUCUGAGAGGAAGGUCCCCCACAUUGGAACUGAGACACGGUCCAAACUCCUACGGGAGGCAGCAGUGAGGAAUAUUGGUCAAUGGGCGAGAGCCUGAACCAGCCAAGUAGCGUGCAGGAAGACGGCCCUAUGGGUUGUAAACUGCUUUUAUAAGGGAAUAAAGUGAGUCUCGUGAGACUUUUUGCAUGUACCUUAUGAAUAAGGACCGGCUAAUUCCGUGCCAGCAGCCG